rnacentral:piRNA from 1 species
GGGGAAUCGCGUCACUGUCUAGUUUAAACC